rnacentral:rRNA from 1 species
CGACUCUCGGCAACGGAUAUCUCGGCUCUCGCAUCGAUGAAGAACGUAGCGAAAUGCGAUACUUGGUGUGAAUUGCAGAAUCCCGUGAACCAUCGAGUCUUUGAACGCAAGUUGCGCCCCAAGCCAUUAGGCCGAGGGCACGCCUGCCUGGGUGUCACGCA